rnacentral:lncRNA from 1 species
AUGGAAAGACCUAAUAGAAACAUACCAACAAUUCAGCAGACCAGAGAAGACACUUUUAGAAGAGGGACUCCUGCCUGGCAAUUCACUUUUUUAGCCCCAUCACCAUUCACUCAGUCUCCAACUGGAUUCCUGCACAUCCAGAGGAUCCUCAAGACUUUCAGAGUUUUUGCACCAACUCUUACCGCCGCUCUCCAAGCAGUGGACAUAAUACCAUCUACAUUCAAACUAUUGGUUAGUACAUUUAGUAUGUAAAACAGCUUAAAUGUAUAAUUUAUUACCAUAUUAACAUUUGUAACUUCAUCACAUUGACCAAUGCACAGGCUCUUUUGGGGAAGGAGCAGUUGUGGCUGAGCAGUAUGUUGAAUGGCUGAAGGACUACUUGCCACUUCUAUUAUGAACUAGUGGUCAAGCUUUUACCACCAGUAACAGUUGCUUCAACAGCCUGUUCAUUUCGCAUUAGUGGCAACACACACAACCUUCAGCUUUAUGCUGGUUAGGACUGCUGCAACAGAACACAAGUCUAGGUCUAGUAAGCUUUUAAGCAACAUCAUGAAAGGUGCAACAUUUAAGCAACAUUUAUGAAACAUCAGUCAGCAUAAAAUAAUUGAAUUUACAUUAAAUUUAUUUUCUUUCAUAAUGGAUUUCUUGGUCCAGUUUUGAAUAAAAUAAUAUAUUUGUGUAUAUAUUUUUAUAUAUACACUACCAUUUACAACUUUGGCUUUUAUAAGAAAUUAAUACUUUUUUGAGCAAAGAUGCAUUAAAUUGAUCAAAAGUGACAAUAAAGACGUAUAAUGUUAUAAAACUUUCUAUUAAUCAGAGUGUGUGUCAGUAGGUUUACGCACAUGUGUGAAUCCCACUGGGCCUUUAGUCUACGUCGAGCUCCAUUUUAUCCCCUGUUGUUUUCCUUUAUGAACUAGUGGUCAAGCUUUACCACCAGUAACAGUUGCUUCAACAGCCUGUUCAUUUCGCAUUAGUGGCAACACACACAACCUUCAGCUUUAUGCUGGUUAGGACUGCUGCAACAGAACACAAGUCUAGGUCUAGUAAGCUUUUAAGCAACAUCAUGAAAGGUGCAACAUUUAAGCAACAUUUAUGAAACAUCAGUCAGCAUAAAAUAAUUGAAUUUACAUUAAAUUUAUUUUCUUUCAUAAUGGAUUUCUUGGUCCAGUUUUGAAUAAAAAUAAUAUAUUUGUGUAUAUAUUUUUAUAUAUACACUACCAUUUACAACUUUGGCUUUUAUAAGAAAUUAAUACUUUUUUGAGCAAAGAUGCAUUAAAUUGAUCAAAAGAACACACACAACCUU